rnacentral:rRNA from 1 species
GAUGAACGCUGGCGGCGUGCCUAAUACAUGCAAGUCGAGCGAACAGAUGAGGAGCUUGCUCCUCUGACGUUAGCGGCGGACGGGUGGGUAACACGUGGGUAACCUACCUAUAAGACUGGGAUAACUUCGGGAAACCGGAGCUAAUACCGGAUAAUAUAUUGAACCGCAUGGUUCAAUAGUGAAAGACGGUUUUGCUGUCACUUAUAGAUGGAUCCGCGCCGCAUUAGCUAGUUGGUAAGGUAACGGCUUACCAAGGCAACGAUGCGUAGCCGACCUGAGAGGGUGAUCGGCCACACUGGAACUGAGACACGGUCCAGACUCCUACGGGAGGCAGCAGUAGGGAAUCUUCCGCAAUGGGCGAAAGCCUGACGGAGCAACGCCGCGUGAGUGAUGAAGGUCUUCGGAUCGUAAAACUCUGUUAUUAGGGAAGAACAAAUGUGUAAGUAACUAUGCACGUCUUGACGGUACCUAAUCAGAAAGCCACGGCUAACUACGUG